rnacentral:rRNA from 1 species
AACGAACGCUGGCGGCAUGCCUAACACAUGCAAGUCGAACGAGACCUUCGGGUCUAGUGGCGCACGGGGGCGUAACGCGUGGGAACCUGCCCUUAGGUUCGGAAUAACUCCCCGAAAGGGGUGCUAAUACCGGAUAAUGUCUUCGGACCAAAGAUUUAUCGCCUUUGGAUGGGCCCGCGUUGGAUUAGCUAGUUGGUAGGGUAAAAGCCUACCAAGGCGACGAUCCAUAGCUGGUCUGAGAGGAUGAUCAGCCACACUGGGACUGAGACACGGCCCAGACUCCUACGGGAGGCAGCAGUGGGGAAUAUUGGACAAUGGGCGAAAGCCUGAUCCAGCAAUGCCGCGUGAGUGAUGAAGGCCUUAGGGUUGUAAAGCUCUUUUACCCGGGAUGAUAAUGACAGUACCGGGAGAAUAAGCUCCGGCUAACUCCGUG